AUACGGGGGGGGCAAGCGUUGUUCGGAAUUACUGGGCGUAAAGGGCUCGUAGGUGGCCAACUAAGUCAUACGUGAAAUCCCUCGGCUUAACCGGGGAACUGCGCCUGAUACUGGUUGGCUUGAGUUUGGGAGAGGGACGCGGAAUUCCAGGUGUAGCGGUGAAAUGCGUAGAUAUCUGGAGGAACACCGGUGGCGAAGGCGGCGUCCUGGACCAAUACUGACACUGAGGAGCGAAAGCCAGGGGAGCAAACGG
rnacentral:rRNA from 1 species